GAGAGCCGUGUGCAGGAAAACCGCACACACGGUUCCGGUGUUUGUCAAGACAGUUGUCCGGUGACGUUCACGAUGAUUUACAAACUUUAU
rnacentral:misc_RNA from 1 species